AUAUGUUGUAGAUCAGGGGUCGGCAACCCGCGGCUCCGGAGCCGCAUGCGGCUCUUUCAGCCCUCUGUUGUGGCUCCCUGUAACUUUGGAAAAUAAAUUGUUCUGCCUUUCAGGCGCGUUUCAAUGCAUUUUAAUAUAGAGAGUUUUAUUGUGAAAUUACCGCUCUUAUUUUGACGUGUCACUUCACCGGAUGUGCUGCUGGGGGUUUCCCCUGGCUGGGACAUGAGAGCGCAAGGUUGAUGCGUUGUAUUAAGCAACGCCUGUAGUUUCACAUCGUUUUGUACUCAAGAAUGGCAAGCCUGUAUAUUAAAGGUCCACUCCAAGAAAGACACGUCUUGUCUUUGAGUCAAAAGUACUCAUGAUAGGGUAAUACACGUUACACGCAAGAACACGGCAGCAGGUCAGAGAGUCAGAGGAGUGACGUCUUGGAAAACAGGGCCAAGUACCCCUGACUGCAGCCCGCAGAUCGGGGCGUGCCUCAACGUGGGCGGAGUUAAACGUUGAGCUCCGCCCACCUUGAACUAAACGUGGGCGGAGUUAAACGUUUAACUCCGCCCGCAUAGCGCAGUUGAACCGUUGAAGAAGAAGAAGAAUGUAAUAGAGAAGAAGAAGAAGUUUCCAAAAUGGAGAGAAUAGAGCACGUGUUUGCUGCAAACAGCCACGUCAUUGCCACAUGGUUUCCACCAUCAUCCACAAACCCCAUGGAUCACCUGCCGGGCAAUGCAGCCAGUCUCCAGUGGGUUCUGCUUCCAGUAUUUGUACCUGGACACUGGAUACUCUGUAAAUACAUUUAUAUCUUCCUCUAUUAUGACCUUACACAACAAGUUGCUCAUUGCUGAUUUAAAUUUUUUGGUAUAUUAAAUGCAUGGCAGCUUUGUUAGUAUUUCUGUAACAUUCCAUAACUUUAUGUGUGUGGUUAUAUUUGAACACAUUUAACAGAUACUGAGGCCACAGGCUAGGGAGAUUUUCUUUCUAGAUCCCCUCUGUGGCAGCGGCUGGAGAGAUGAGAGUAGAGUCCAUCUAGUCAGGUUUUUAGGACACCUUCCAAGAUCCUUCCUGGACAGUGGUAGUUCUGUUUUAAACCACUUGUCCUUUGUUUGUUUUAUGAAUGGUUCUGUUUUUAUUUGAAUGCAUUAAGAUGUUCCAAACAAACAAAAACAAACAACAAAAGUGAGUGUUUGCGAGGGAUAGAAGUAAUUGUUACAUUAUUCUUAUUUAUUUUUACAUUAUUCUACGCAGAUGGAAACAGAACCAUAUGUUUUGUUUGUUUAAGCCCAUUACAAAAACGUUUGAUUUGAAGUUCCAGCCUCUUCCAACUUUGUUCCCAGUGUUGCUUUAAAAUGGUUUAUUGUACUUUUAUUUCCUCUUUGAGCACAUUGCUCACAUCUCCUGGGCCUUGGAGGCAGCUUGGUGUGAAUGAUGUUUAGGAAAACAUGCUGCAGAUUAGAAGAUGGUGGUGUCUUGUUCUCCUGCUAUCUGAAGAAGAGAGAUUGCAGCAAAGAAAAAGGCAACGAGAGCAGAAAAAUUACAGGAUGUGGCUGAAGUCCCCCUGAAAAUGUUUAGGCUUUCAGAAUCUGCCACUGAAGCAUCAGAUCAGGCUGAGAACAGGACUGGGAACAGGAAACGGGGAGAAUCCUUUGGUCAGGGAUGCAAUGGCGGCAGCCCGGUGGUGUGGGACCAGAACGUUCAAGGGAAAAAUUUCCCUUCCCCAAGUUGUUACCAUGGCCAAGGAGCAACGCGUGAGGGCAGUGGAACUCCUGUGUGUCUGUGAUGGCCAGGAAGAAGAGGAGACCGCUGAUCUCAGAGAACCGUUCCUUUUUCUUUUUAGUCUGCAGGAAGACUAUGAGACAUUCUGUCAAGAAAUCAUUGACAGGAGAAACAUGAAGGUGUUUUGUGCUUUUGACAGAAAAGAAUAAAGUUGUGUUCAACGGUG